AGUAGUACAGACAGGAGUCUAUUUUAGUGAGCCAUUCACAUUUGGCAGAGACACUAUAAAUCUGAUUGAUUAUUCUCCAUUGUCUCUCAGAAAGUCCCUUGCUGCCUCCCUCACACACACUUUUCUUCAGGUUUGAGGUACGACGCAAGGAGCUGUUCAGUUUCAAUAAGUUUUAGUGGGGGAAUUUAAGACAACCAUGGCUGAUGGGUGAGUAAAAUCUCUUUUGGUUUAUUUAAUAGCACUCACUGUCACCUUUAAAGUAUACUGUAAAACAAUGUAUUGAUAUUCAUUUCGUAAAUAUUCUGACAUGUAUUUUCUCCCUUGUUAUUGCUCCAACAGACCU